rnacentral:rRNA from 1 species
UACGUAGGUGACAAGCGUUGUCCGGAUUUACUGGGCGUAAAGAGCGCGCAGGCGGUCGAUCAAGUCGAGUGUGAAAGCCCCCGGCUCAACUGGGGAGGGUCAUUCGAUACUGAUCGACUCGAAGGCAGGAGAGGGUAGUGGAAUUCCCGGUGUAGUGGUGAAAUGCGUAGAUAUCGGGAAGAACACCAAAGGCGAAAGCGCUCUGCUGGGCCGAAACUGACACUGAGAGACGAAAGCUAGGGGAGCGAAUGGG